UGAAAACUCAGCUGAAGCUGUAAUGAGUCCAAUACUAAAGGUUAUCACUGUGCCAGCAGGGAGCUUAGAUGCAUGUGUGCACAAUUGCUCUCAGCAUUUAAAAAAACCAAGAAAACUAUAUAUUUGGAUGUAGAGUUAAACAGUAUCAUCAGUGUCAGUGUUGUAGUUUCUGAUUCCUUGACUUUACAUACUCCGUGUAGGAUGCUGG